GUGGUAGUUCAGUUGGUUAGAAUACCGGCCUGUCACGCCGGGGGUCGCGGGUUCGAGUCCCGUCCAC
rnacentral:tRNA from 3 species